rnacentral:rRNA from 1 species
AUGAACCCUAGCUGGGUGAGAUCGCCGUCCGUGAACCAGGCACUGAUGUCGUUGCCCUCCGGCACGUCCAGGAUGUCCACCAUGGGGUCCAUCGGUGGCAGGUUCAUGGGGGCGUCCAGGGACUCCGGAGCAACAUUGGCCGCACUGUUCCUUGGUUGCUGGGUAGGUCUUGUGCUUAGAGGGUUGUUCCACUCGUUGGAUUCUCGUGGCGACGGUGAUGGGAAGCUGGAGUUGGAUGGCUCUGUGACUCUGCCAAGGACGUUUCCAGAUGUUGAUAGCUGCGCUAGCUUCUGCUUUGGCUUCAUCUUGGUCUUGCGCUCGUUCCGGCCGCUGCCAGACGAGUUCCGGCCGCUGCCUGAUUUCGAGCUGGAGUUCUUGGCAGACCCAUCUCUGCUCUGGUCCCUUUCUCUCUCGCCCUUUUUCAAUUUUGUGCUACCUGCAAAAGGAUCAGCAGAUGUUGGGAUACCUCAUGAAAAAGAUUUCUUACAAAAUCAUCAUGCCAAAGUUAAGUAA